CCCGCCUGCGCCGCCAUCUUGGGAGAGGCAAGUGGGGCAGCCCUGAGCGCAGAGGCCAUUGGCUCGGCAGGGAGCGGGAGUAUUUCUAGCCUCUUUGUUGUCACCGCAGGGAUCGGUUGAGAGCUCUUGCACGCGGAGCCGACCCCAGGCUGUGAUGCCGUACAGAAGUGUUGGCUGGAGCAGGUGGGGGGUCAAUAUUUGGGGCCUUGCUGGACUGUUUCCCAUGGGAGGAGUAUCUGAAGAUAUGAGUCAGGUCUAUUCUGUGCUGCAAGCCUGUUUAUUUACAAGGGACCCAUGCAUGGUCCUGCUUCCUUGAAUGCAGAAGGAACAGACAACAGCAGGCAGUUUCCUCACUCCCAGUUUCCACGCCUGUCUCUCCAGCUUGUCCUGUGCCCCAAGGAGCUCUCUUCCCUCUUGGACGAUGCUCACAGUGGCUUAUCUUGCCGGCUACUGGCUCACAUGCAGCUGCAACCAAUCAACCGCCCCCCCCAUCUCUUGUUUUUGCAGUCAGUCUCAGGGAAACCCCUCUGCCCACAUGGAAUAGCUCCACUUAUCUUUGCCAUGCAGCCGAUUGCUUUGGGCUGUUGCUUCUCUAAUUUCUGGCUAUCUCACUCCAUAAAGGGGCUUAAUUGCUCCUUCCAUUUUACCUGAAGGAAGCAUGGUUAGGGUGCCCAUCAGCUUGAACUAUUGUCUGUGAUUGUCUGUAGAUCAAAGUCCCCCUUUUAUGGCAGCCAUUCAGACCUUUCAGCAUAACAGAAGUUCCCCUGGGGGAUCCAGGAGAAGAACUCAGGUGAAGUAUCGGAUACCAGGAAAGGAAUUGUGGGAGUUUGUGAAUCUGACCCCUCCAAGUCCCAGAAUUCCAGUAAGUAUCCCACAGAGUCGUGUGAGAGAAGCCCCAGAAUGUAUUGAGCCUGGUGGCAGAACAUUGCACCCUGGGAGAUCUGUGCAGUUAUUUUGGAAUAGCGCAGAGCUGUGUGGCUGCAGUGACUCACAAGGGAAGUCCCCGAAGCUUGGCUUAACCAAAGUAGUGGGGACACAUUGUUUUGGGAGCGUUAUACCGGUAUAAUAACAGCAGAAAAACCUAGAGUGGAAAAACUUUCCCUUGCAGAUAAGCCCUCAGCCCCAUGUGCAGUCUGUGUGCCAGUGAUAUUUCCAGGUGAAACAGAAGACGGUAACACACUGUCUUGCUGGAGAAGCAGUUUAAACUUUUCCUCUGAGCUGAAAGCGUGUGACAUGGUAAGAUCCUCUAGCAAAGGGGCCCUAAGGAAAGAGUCCAGUAGAUGGAGACAUCUGCUCAGCGUGGAAAGCCAAAAUGGUUAGAAAACAGCAGGCACUGACUAGAAUUUGCCCCAGGCUCUGGGGUCUCUCUGCUUGGUGGCCUGGGCUUACUAUGUACUUCUCCUCCUGCUGCGCCGAGAGCCCAGCUGCUGGGGUGGGGUUAGCUGAGGCCCCGGCAGCAGUGGGUCACAGAGUCAACACCCCAUUGAGAUGCAAGGUGCAGUUUACUCCUCUCAGAACAAUGGGCUCAGGCUCUCUGCAGACUCAGGCAGCGUCACUGAGUCAAUUACACAGUCACGUUUUCAAGCUUUUCUUCGCAGACAUGAGGGCUACAAACUAACAACAACAACAAAAAAGCUGAAAUUCUGAUGUCACAGGCAGAGCUGGAUGGGAAACAGUGUUUCCAUCCUGGAAAAGUUUUCAAGAUAUCAGAAGACAAAAUUUCCAUCCCAAACUGGCCCAAAAAAUCAGACUCUCAAAUUUUCACCAGCCAAAAAAAUCGAAAUAAAAGCUCAGGGUGAGUCAAGCAAAACACUCGGUUGAGAUUAGUGAGCAACAUUUUGUUUCAAUUGUGACCAUUUAAAAAAAAAAAAAGACCAUACUUGGCUUAAAUUUUGAAACAAAAAGCCAUUUUAAAUCCAGAUAUUUCCUUUGGAGAAAUCACAAAACAAGUUUUUGACAAUUUUGCAACUUUGUUUUUGUUCAGAAAAAAAUGAGGUGGGGGGGGGUUCGAAAAAUUUAUGAAAACCGAAACUUUGCUCUGAAAAGCUUCAGUUUGGCCAAAUCAGCAUUUUCAGAGGGAAAAAAAAUUCAUCACCAAAUUCUCUACCGCCUGUAGUCAUGGGAGCCAGGUGCCUUAGCCCAGCCCUGCAUCCAAUUUUAAGAUUAAAUUCCCCCCUGUAUAGAAGACCAGGGGCAGGAAGUCAGACCCUCUGCUAUUGUAUCUUUCCCCGCUAGAGGGCCUAAUAGACCUGCUGUCAGCAAAAAGCCUGGAGACUUUCGCUGAGUUUCUUUUGGGGCGGGGGGGAACUAAUCUAAAAAUAAAUUUACACCCACACACACCCCACGCAUCUCCUGCGGCCAAAGUGGUGUGAAAAUUCAGAUCAGACACAUACA